rnacentral:misc_RNA from 1 species
UCCUUACCCUUUAUUUUGGUUCAGGUAAAAUUUUUCUCUAGUUUGGCUAUCGUAUUAAAGGCCGUGAACUGAGUAGUGGUAAAAAUCUUCAGCUUGCAACCCAACAAUUGGUAGUUUUAGAAAUUAGAACUGAGAGGGGCAACUAGUGUAAAACUGCAGAAUCAUAGAACUGUCUCCAAAAUUCCCAUUUUAGGACCCUACGUCAAUGGAUCACAAGUAGGCAAGGGCCGAGGGCCUUCUAAUAUUGCUAAUAUGUUAUUUCCAUAAAUUCUUGGAGAUAUAACAAAAUGUUUAUCAUUAUACAUUUACUAGAGUUGAGUUUGUCAAUUUGCAGUAGUUUCUUUCAAAGCUAUUAGUGUUAUUUGGUUGUACUGGUUAGCUUGACUUAAAGAUUUAGUUUCAUGCAUGGUAAGAUGUAGAAGCAUUUGAAGAAGAAGAAGAUAACUAAAUAAAUACUUUCACCUUCAUUAUUUAAUAAAAAAAUAAAAAGGAUUCAUUGGGCAUGUCUAUUAGGGGGAGCUUGCGGAUGCAUCCCAAUUUGUCUAGGAGAACUUGAAAGAUAUAUUCCUUGGGUAACUUAGAAUUCCCUAUUAGUACUCACUUCUGCCUACAUUGUUCAAUGAUCUUCUAUUAAAUUGCUGAGUCUUUAAUUUCUUAAGCUGUUGAGCAUGGUUCUAAUAUUCUUACAGUCCAUUGUUAGCCGUAUGUGCACAAUCUACUUUACUUUGCGUAAUAUUCAGUUCUGAUUGCUGCUUCAGAAUCAGGCUUUAGGGGACUCUGAAGCUGCCAAUAUUUGUCUAUCUAUGUUGAUGUUUUCUAUUUUUCUGUGGUUGCGAUGUUGUUAUUUAGGAUAGGUGAACAAUGGGUCUGAGGCAUUAAUAACUUAAAAUGAAUUUCACUUAGAUUUUUGAGGUUGCUUAUUCUUGAAAUGAAGCUCCGUAAAGUGUAAAGCAUAGCUAUUCACAUGAAAUUGCAACAAAGCUUUCUAGAGUAGGCAUUUACACGCAUGCCCAGAAAAUACAGACUGGCAUACUCCACAACAAAAAUAUGAGAAAGUGCUGCUUAUGAUGCCCCGAUACAGUGACUGACUAGGAGGGGUACGGGAUGAUGGGGGAAGAAAAGAGACUGAAAAUUUGAAAUUCUAAAUAGAUUAGCAUGAGAAUGCCACUCUAACACUGAGUAGGAGGUAGGGAGGAAAUUUCUAAAGUGUGUCCCAAAAGAGUGUCUGACUAUGGUGGAUGGGUGACAGAGAGAACCCAUUUUGUGGCUUGCUGCAAAUAUGUGGGAUGGAACUUCAUUGAGGUAGAGCCUGUCUUUAGGCAUGCAUGUUUCUGUGCUGUAAUAAAACACUUUUUCCCAACUAAUUGAAGAAGAUAUUCUCAUAGAUUAGAAAUUUAUUUUGAGCAGUGCUGCAAACCCUAAAUGGGCAAUUUAGGCCUGGAUUUGUAGAAGCUCAGUUUGAGUAGUAACCAGUAUGACAUUUUCAGCUAAAGCAGUAAAGCUUGAAGGGACUCUUUUCAAAUCAUUUGGAAUGCUAUAAUGUAUUAGUAGGAAGGGGAGGUCUGGUUCUAUUAGAAGAGUCUCAACAUUCUUCUCUUUGGUUAUUAAAGGUUGAGUGGUCUUGGGAAUUGGAACGGUGAACCCACCAUGUUAGGACAAGAAGUAAUUGUCUAAAC